rnacentral:rRNA from 1 species
AUUGAACGCUGGCGGCAUGCCUUACACAUGCAAGUCGAACGGUAACAGGUUAAGCUGACGAGUGGCGAACGGGUGAGUAAUGUAUCGGAACGUGCCCAGUCGUGGGGGAUAACUGCUCGAAAGAGCAGCUAAUACCGCAUACGACCUGAGGGUGAAAGCGGGGGAUCGCAAGACCUCGCGCGAUUGGAGCGGCCGAUAUCAGAUUAGGUAGUUGGUGAGGUAAAGGCUCACCAAGCCGACGAUCUGUAGCUGGUCUGAGAGGACGACCAGCCACACUGGGACUGAGACACGGCCCAGACUCCUACGGGAGGCAGCAGUGGGGAAGUUUGGACAAAGGGCGCAAGCCUGAUCCAGCCAUGCCGCGUGCGGGAAGAAGGCCUUCGGGUUGUAAACCGCUUUUGUCAGGGAAGAAAAGGUUCUGGCGAAUAACUGGGACUCAUGACGGUACCUGAAGAAUAAGCACCGGCUAACUACGUG